CGCCUGCCCUGUGACAAAUGUUUAACGGCCGCGGUAUUUUGACCGUGCAAAGGUAGCGCAAUCACUUGUCUUUUAAAUGAAGACCUGUAUGAAUGGCAUGACGAGGGCUUAACUGUCUCCUUUUUCCAGUCAAUGAAACUGAUCUUCCCGUGCAGAAGCGGGAAUAAAACCAUAAGACGAGAAGACCCUAUGGAGCUUUAGACACAAGACAGACCUUGUUAAACACUUCAAAAUAAAGAAAUAAACUAAAAGGGCCCUGCCCUAUUGUCUUUGGUUGGGGCGACCACGGGGAAACAAAUAACCCCCACGCGGACUGAGAAAACAGUUCUCACAACCAAGAGCCACAGCUCUAAUCAACAGAAAUUCUGACCUCAAGAUCCGGCAAUGCCGAUCAACGGACCGAGUUACCCUAGGGAUAACAGCGCAAUCCCCUUUUAGAGUCCAUAUCGACAAGGGGGUUUACGACCUCGAUGUUGGAUCAGGACAUCCUAAUGGUGCAGCAGCUAUUAAGGGUUCGUUUGUUCAACGAUUAAAGUCCU
rnacentral:rRNA from 1 species